CACAAUCGAUGAUGAAAGAUGUCAACUUUUCUGAUUAGUUGUGAUUAUUACAAAAAUUUAUCACCAUCUUUCGGCUGAGGUUGUG